CUUUACUGAAUUGAGCCUAAUGCAAAAUUCAUGCCGAGGUGUCACAAGCGAAAGGCAGUUUAUUAAUCCAACUUAUCUGGAGCUGGUAGGCAGCAGUCAUGAAUGGCAAACCGUCUCACGGCUGGUGUGUGUGGAAGAAUCGCUCCAGUGAACGUCUGUCUGCUGAGAAAGCAUCAGGGCACCUAUUGAAAGAACACAGUGGGCUUGUCAGCACAGCAGCUUUUCAGAGAGAACCACAAACACCCCGAAACAGCAGUGGCGUGGGACCAAUGCCUUCCGAAAGGAUUUGGGGAAGGAGGAAUUAAAAUGGUUUGAAUUAAAAA